rnacentral:rRNA from 1 species
CCGCGUGCAGGAUAAAGUCCUCUGGAUUGUAAACUUCUUUUAUCUGGGACAAAAAAAGGUCUUUCUANNUNNCUUGACGGUACCGGAUGAAUAAGCACCGGCUAACUCCGUGCCAGCAGCCGCGGUAAUACGGAGGGUGCAAGCGUUAUCCGGAUUCACUGGGUUUAAAGGGUGCGUAGGCGGGUAGGUAAGUCAGUGGUGAAAUCCUGGAGCUCAACUCCAGAACUGCCAUUGAUACUGUCUGUCUUGAAUAUUGUGGAGGUAAGCGGAAUAUGUCAUGUAGCGGUGAAAUGCUUAGAUAUGACAUAGAACACCCAUUGCGAAGGCAGCUUACUACGCAUAUAUUGACGCUGAGGCACGAAAGCGUGGGGAUCAAACAGGAUUAGAUACCCUGGUAGUCCACGCCCUAAACGAUGGAUACUCGACNUACGCGAUACACUGUGUGUGUCUGAGCGAAAGCAUUAAGUAUCCCACCUGGG